AAACUUUCAACAACGGAUCUCUUGGUUCUCGCAUCGAUGAAGAACGCAGCGAAACGCGAUAGUUAAUGUGAAUUGCAGAAUUCAGUGAAUCAUCGAAUCUUUGAACGCACAUUGCGCCCCUUGGUAUUCCGAAGGGCAUGUCUGUUUGAGCGUCAUU
rnacentral:rRNA from 1 species